rnacentral:rRNA from 1 species
GCUAAUACCGCAUAACGUCUACGGACCAAAGUGGGGGACCUUCGGGCCUCAUGCCAUCAGAUGUGCCCAGAUGGGAUUAGCUAGUAGGUGGGGUAACGGCUCACCUAGGCGACGAUCCCUAGCUGGUCUGAGAGGAUGACCAGCCACACUGGAACUGAGACACGGUCCAGACUCCUACGGGAGGCAGCAGUGGGGAAUAUUGCACAAUGGGCGCAAGCCUGAUGCAGCCAUGCCGCGUGUAUGAAGAAGGCCUUCGGGUUGUAAAGUACUUUCAGCGGGGAGGAAGGUGUUGUGGUUAAUAACCGCAGCAAUUGACGUUACCCGCAGAAGAAGCACCGGCUAACUCCGUGCCAGCAGCCGCGGUAAUACGGAGGGUGCAAGCGUUAAUCGGAAUUACUGGGCGUAAAGCGCACGCAGGCGGUCUGUUAAGUCAGAUGUGAAAUCCCCGGGCUCAACCUGGGAACUGCAUUUGAAACUGGCAGGCUUGAGUCUCGUAGAGGGG